rnacentral:tRNA from 1 species
UUCUUGAUCGUAUAACGGUUAGUAUGCUCGCUUGUCACUACAACUCGCGGGAGAUCGGAGUUCGAUUCUCCGUCAGGAAG